rnacentral:rRNA from 1 species
UAGGAGGCAGCAGUGAGGAAUAUUGCGCAAUGGGCGAAAGCCUGACGCAGCGACGCCGCGUGGGGGAUGAAGGCCUUCGGGUUGUAAACCCCUUUCAGCAGGGACGAAGCGAGAGUGACGGUACCUGCAGAAGAAGCGCCGGCUAACUACGUGCCAGCAGCCGCGGUAACACGUAGGGCGCAAGCGUUGUCCGGAAUUAUUGGGCGUAAAGAGCUCGUAGGUGGUUUGUUACGUCCGCUGUGAAAACCUAGGGCUUAACCCUGGGCUUGCAGUGGAUACGGGCAGACUAGAGGUAGGUAGGGGAGAAUGGAAUUCCUGGUGUAGCGGUGAAAUGCGCAGAUAUCAGGAGGAACACCGGUGGCGAAGGCGGUUCUCUGGGCCUUACCUGACACUGAGGAGCGAAAGCGUGGGGAGCGAACAGGAUUAGAUACCCCGGUAGU